rnacentral:rRNA from 1 species
GACGAACGCUGGCGGCGUGCUUAACACAUGCAAGUCGAACGGAAAGGCCCUGCUUUUGUGGGGUGCUCGAGUGGCGAACGGGUGAGUAACACGUGAGUAACCUGCCCUUGACUUUGGGAUAACUUCAGGAAACUGGGGCUAAUACCGGAUAGGAGCUCCUGCUGCAUGGUGGGGGUUGGAAAGUUUCGGCGGUUGGGGAUGGACUCGCGGCUUAUCAGCUUGUUGGUGGGGUAGUGGCUUACCAAGUCUUUGACGGGUAGCCGGCCUGAGAGGGUGACCGGCCACAUUGGGACUGAGAUACGGCCCAGACUCCUACGGGAGGCAGCAGUGGGGAAUAUUGCACAAUGGGCGGAAGCCUGAUGCAGCAACGCCGCGUGCGGGAUGACGGCCUUCGGGUUGUAAACCGCUUUCGCCUGCGACGAAGCGUGAGUGACGGUAAUGGGUAAAGAAGCACCGGCUAACUACGUG